rnacentral:lncRNA from 1 species
ACCGAUGUAUCAUACUCGGAAGACCAGGUCAUCAUAAGAAAAUACUGCUAAAUCUUUCCGAAGUGAGAGAAGGCGCAAAGAUCGUGGCCCACUCCUUCGGUUAAUUACGGAUAGUCCUACGGAUAAAUCCUGCGGACGUAGGACUUCUUCUUCUUUAAAAAGAAGGGUCCAGGUGACCGUCCUUCGCAAAUUCUUUGCGCCUAACUACGGGUGCAAAGAAUAUUGCGAGUUGAAGAGCCAGCUGAAAAAGGCUAGCUAGCUAGGCUAGCGCGCAAUGGCUUUCUCUGCCUUGGGAAAGCUUCUUCAAGCUCCGCCCAACCUAUACAAGGUGCUGCUCGCUUUCUCUCAGCCACAAGUGGCUUAUUUAUGUAGUGGUCGGCAUUCCUACGUGCUCCUCCUUUCCUUGCUCACCGACUGAAUAAUCUAAAAGUGAGAAAGGGAUGUUGUCGUGAGGCUUUGGUGUAGAAGGUUGCCGGGGUCUAGGUUUAUGGAUGGAUUCAGUCAACGAAAGUCCCUCAAACUCAAUCAAGAUCAACCACUAUUUGAACCUCUCCCCUUUGAAAAGAAAGUAGGAGAAGGGGGUUCAUUUCUUAGUAAACCUCCGGUGCUGGUAAGGUCGGGACCGUGGUCGUCCGUCUCCGCUUUGCCGGCCGAUAAGAUCUUUGAGAUUGACCAGCCAGCUGGGUUGCUUUGGCUAUUCCUUUCUAUUGAAAAGGAGUCAGCUGUCUGCGCGAGUAACCUUCUGAUAGGCUUCGCUGGACGACACGGCAUUCUCGUUCAAAUAUAGGCCGGCCGUACUUGUGAUGGUUCCCAAGGAUCCAAUAUGACCACUUAGGUCUACGUUGCCACGAUAUUGUUCUAUGGAAGCGGGCGGGCAAGUUCGGCCCGGUUUUUUUUGUCUCGUAGGGGAGGGAUUGACCUUUCUAACGCAUAUUCAGUCGUACCGGCAUGGCCCCACUUUUUCUCGAUCGGAGCAUCCAGCAGCGCAACCCGGUUCUACUUGACUAAGCCCCGUGCUCGUCCAAGGAGGGAGUUUGCUUUACCCAACUCUCUUUUUGAUAAGAAGGCGGAACCCCCCGACCCAAGAUUCAUUAGUUUCUCAUGAUCAAUAAGGCAACUGCAAGCAUCUACUCCUAGAGAAAUGAAAAGCGGAGCUUUAGGCUUUACUAAUAACAAGGUAAGGCCGGGAGCUCUAGCUUUACAAGGAUAGAGCUUAGAUAGGGACCUUUCUUAUUAUGAGUAUAAGGUUUGAAAAAGGCGUAGACAAGAGAUCAAUGAACGAUCAAUGAACAAGGUGAAAGCAAUCAAAAAAGUUCAGACUCGACCGCCUUGAUUCUGCCUCCAAAAGCAUUGAACCGAAGGUGCAAAGUGCGGCUAUGAGAAAAUAGCGAGACCUGUCUCAUUGAUAAGGACAUAUAUAUUAGCUUUCUGGCUUUCUUUUCUUAUGAGAACUCUGAUGUCUCAAAGAUUCCACAGGUCCGAAGGACAGACAGGUUAAUAUGGAUAGUCCGAAGGACGGGAUUUCUUUCUCACGCAACCCCGCAUAUUUCAUUCCGCCUUCGGACCUGUCUUAUGGCACCUCUCAACAACAGUUCUUCCCGCUCAAAUUUCAUUCAGCCUCCAAAGUCAAAUUCUCUAAUGGAUAGGCCUUCUCGCAAUAUUCUUUGCGCCUUCCAGUCGCUUCGCUUCGGGCCUCCGUAGCUUAAUAUGGGGGAUGGAGGAGGACUAUUCGCUAUUCUAAUAUUUACGGUAUAAACAAGUCAAAAGGACUUUUUAUCAAUGAUCUUUGCUCCUCCGGACUACUUCCUUCCAUAUGGAUGGUCCUACGGAUAAAUCCUGCGGACUCCGGACUAUCCAUUAGAGGAGUGUGAGUGCAGAGGCAAGGACGGUUUUCAAAGCAAAGAAAGCCCUAUACAUGAAUUUCAGGCGGUCUAAAAGAGGUUUUCAAAAGUCAGACUAAUCAAUGAAAGAGGAGAAUCUUUGGAGAAUGAAGAGGUCGGCUAAUAUAUAGGUAAUAAGGAAAAGUGACCCACGGAGCGGAAUAAAGUCAAUGAACAGGUCCUCCGGACUAUCCAUAUUAACCCUUGAAGGAGAUUGAUGCCUCCAAGAACAUUCAGUUCCAUAAAGAAGUCCGCCUUUUUUUAGAGGACGAAAUUGAGUGUCGAGCUAGUAGGAAGAAAAAGAUCUUUUUUAUCUAAAGAGCGUAGUAGAAGUCUGAAUUCUGCAUUCUCUCUUUUUUUUGCGGAGCUCCUUUUUAGUGGACGCUACUUGAUUAUGGGGGGAUGAGACUCUACCCUAAUCACUUUGAUUCCAUUGACUUUGAUUCCGUCCGGAUUGCUCGCCUUCUCCGCCAUAAGAAUGAAAUUCCAUAAAGAGGUCCAAGAACAAUCAGUGGAAUUCUCACAAGUCCGACUAUCGAUGAACCCUGUAAGUCGUUCUAACCUCUCGGUUGAGUACAUCGACCCUUUCCUCUAAUACGCCCUGAUUCUAGUAGACGCGUCGACGUCUUUUGAAAGGACUUGCUUUGGUAUAGGCUUUGAAUAAGGCUCGUUCCCGGCGCUCACCUUUUUUGGCUGAAAUCGCGAAUUGGUAAAGACCCACCCCUUGUUUCAGUCAGAAUGAGUCCCCGGGACCCCGGGACAUUGGCUUCCGCCAACAGUGGACUAUUAAGGAUCGCAUCCCGCGCAUAUUCUACAUUAUAGCCUGCAACUGAUUCAGCUUCCGCUUCUGGGAGAUCAAAGGGAGCUCGAUUAGUUUCUGCUAGACGAGAAAUAAAGAACAUAACCAAUACAGGGAACAAGGGAAUACCGGACCAUAUCUGCUUUUGCGCCAUGACAAUCUCACUCGAAUUACGGGGACCUACACAUAUUAGUACAGUAUACCGGGGUCCCCGGCCAGAACCACACGUGCAAGUUUCCCUGCAUGUGGCUCGUCCGUGCUUUCCGAGGCGCUGCCUGCUGUGACUCAGCAUGGGAGAAGGGGGCGGAACUGCACACUUGAGUGUGAAGAGCACUCUGAAGUGACUGACGAAACUGAUCAUUCUUCUUAUGCUUCCGAAACAUCUGACGAAAGAUCUCAUACGAACAAGAAAGACCUAUGAAACUCUUAUUCAUGAAAUGACCUCAUUACCUCUUUGAAUGCCUUUAUCUCAAAGUUCUAGCUUGAGCUUUCUUGACGACUGGGCUGGUUCCUCGCCAACAAAUUGGAUUUCGAUCUUGGGGAAAGCCCCAGGAAAGUCUAGGUUGGCUUCCAGCUCCAUCUCGGCCGGCAUCCUGCUCUCGAGGGGGUGGAGUCCUGGAGCGAACUACUCAUUGCUGUCUUGCCCCAAUCCCUUGAAGGGCUUUUGGGGAGGAGCAUUGUUGGAGGGAAAGGCGUGGUUGACAAGCCACUUCGAGGAGGCGACUGGACUGGAGUGCUUUCAUCAAGCAUGUGGGCUGAGCCAUUCCCACCACUUGGGGUGGCCCGAUUCGGCCUGGUCGGGAAGAGAUGAAGAUAGAGACUCUUACGUUACGGGAAUCUCUUUCUAUGUUAGCGGGAGGGGGCCUUCCUAUGGUAGUCCCGCUGCGGCCUCUGACCGUCCGUCCCGUCUCAUCUUUCUUUGGCUAUACUUGGAUGUAGCCAGCCAUCUUAGCUUCACAUGAGAGAGUUAGCCUUUAAGGCUCUGCACUCAUCAGUCAGCUCGGCCCCUUUCCUAUUCCCCUUUGCCGCCUUUUAAGAGAAUAGGUCCCGUUGAAGCGGCCCGCCUUUAUGAAUCUAUACCAGCUGCCACGCACGACCCAAUAGGAACUAUCAUGAAACUCGAAAGAAAGAAGUUGAAAACAUAAGAUAUAAGUCCCAUAAAUAAGAGAGACGGACGUAGAAUAUUGCUCGGAAACUUCAGCAUUAUUAGGAGAUAGAUAGGGGAGGGUCCGAAGCCUUAAUUUGACUUCCAUUGACUUUUUCUUCCUUCCAUAAGGACUCAAACCUUUGUUCAUUGAUUCAGUCCGAAGGACUUCGCAAUAUUCUUUGCGCCUCUUUGAGCCUCCCCAUUUUUUCUUACGCCUGGAGAUACUUUCUUCUAGAGGAGAAGGCCUGAAUAUGGAUCAAAAUCAGUCCCACUAUUUCUUAAUAUGGAUAGUCCUCGAAUAUGAAUUCAUCCUCCGUUAGGCGCAAAGAAUAUUGCGUGGAACCACCCGGAGAGAAGGUUUUUUUUCCAUUAAUCAGUCCCUCUUUUCAAAGUCAGAGCUAUCCAAAAUCAUGAAGCAGAAGGCUCAAAGAAUUUGAGGAUAAGGGAUAUUGAUUCUUUGGUCCUUCGCCUAAGAAUAAGGUUCAAAGAAUAUUGAACUCAUGAAUAUGGAUCAAAAUCAGUCCCACUAUUUCUUAAUAUGGAUAGUCCUUCGCAAAUUCUUUGCGCCUAACGGAGGGAUAAAAACAAGUGAAAAAUAAUGGAAAUAAGGGUCCUAAAGUGGGGCGCAGUUGAGGAGGCUCCAUAAGAGAGGUCUAUUGUAGGUCGUCCUUCUCCUUAAUAAGUGGGGAUCUGGACGGGUCCGACCUAUCCACUGAAAGUAGCGGAGUAGUCUUGUCUUCUUCUUCUUUUAGAUAUUAUGUCCUUGAACUUCAAACCCACUAUUUAGUCUCCCACGGGGCGGUUUUCAAAGCAAAGAAACCUAUCCAGCGGAAGAAGUAUGAAAAGAGAAAAGGAAGAAAGAGAAAGCUAAGCUAAUAUGGAUAUAAAGAACGACUAAGGACGGAGGACGGAAUCAAAAGGCAGUGAGAAGGCGCGAAGCGACUGGCAAAAAUAUCCAUCAGACUCGACCGCGUAGAAGGCGCAAAGAAUAUUGCGAGAAACCUUAUUAUCGAAUAUUGCGAGGUCCUUUUUACCUCUUUUAUCCAAAAUAUUAGUUCCAUUCUAAUCGAUAAUUCUUUGAGCCUCCGGCUUAAAUAAAGCGAGUCAUGAUCCUUAUAAAGCAGUUUUGGAAAUCGAGCAAUAUUCUUUGCGCCUGGUCCGAAGGACUGACCGC